AGUUAAUUAAUUUAAUAAAAAUAUUUAUUUUGAAAAUAAAAAAUAGAAUAUUAUUCUAUUAACUUA
rnacentral:tRNA from 1 species